AGUAGGUGGGGAAAGAACUGCAGGCAGUCGCUGAAGAAUUGAAGGUUUGGCCAAGACUGAGCACUUGUUGCAUCAAAACGUCAGCUUCAUCAAACUGUUGGCUGUCCCAAAGACCUGUCUGGGAAUGCAGGAAGGGUGUCCUGCAACCAGCUGCCCUGCCCUGAGCUUUGGAAAGUCAAAGCCUGGGAGUUUUCUCCUCUGGUUUGCUCAGAGGUGAGUUCCAGCCAUGGAAACAGCUUCGGUGAGGUAUCGUGCUUCCAGUGGAGUUUGAUGCUGUAUUUAACUCCUGCUGAGGACAAGACUUUGAAACGAGAACUUCUUUUGACCUUUGGUUAUGCCUCUGAAGAUUUGUUCUCCAGACCGUGACUGAUGGGUGAAUUAAAGUCCUGUGAAGUGGCCAACUCCUCGAGGAAAGCAAGGAGCUUUGAACCAGAGCUGCAGCCCCACAGCGAGCUUCCAGGAAAGUGCUGAGGAGCCACGGAGGGAGGGAGGGACACCUGAGACCCUGCCUGGAGGUGGGUAACACUGUGACACACACCUCCAGCCCACCCACACCAGCAUUGGGAGCCUCUGCUUCCCAAUCAGGCCAGGGUGAGUGGUCACUGCCUCGCCCAUCCCUGCAGCCCUCUUCUGCUCCAGCCUCACCCCUCAGGCCCGCUCCAGUGCAGGGUUUGCAGGGGUGCCAUGGUUAGUGUGGGCUCUGGCAGAGGCUUGGGAUGUGCCUAAGAGACCUCCAAAACUGAGUGGAUUCACCAGGACUGGGUCAGGGCCUCUCAAACCCUCCAAGCUUAUCCACUGCUGGCCUGAAAAAUCCACUUUUCACUGCUUUCCCUUAGAGACCCUUCACCACCAGCUGCUGGGGCUGUGUUGGAAUCAGCUGAGGAGAGGGGAGGAGCUGCAAUUUUUCUUCUGUUGGAAAUCCUAGGAGGGAAAGGCACAAGAGAUGAAGGAAGUAGAGCUGAUUAGAAGAGGCUCUGCCUUUGAACCAUUAGCACCUAUUUCAUGCCUUUCCUCGGACAUCAUCUGUGUCUCUCUGCUGGACACAGGGCAGUAGAUUCCUGGAGCAGCAGCGUAGCUGUUUCACAUAGCAAUUGCCCUCAUCAAAUCCUUAGAGAUGGCAGUUUGAAGCACACAACCUUUGUGCUUUGGGGGUCACUUUUGGGGUCAUGCUGGACCUUGUAGAGUUGCCAAGGAGCAGGGCUGAGUCCCCACCUAACUCAUAUGGAGUGAGUCAGUUUGGACCCAUUUGUUUCUCUCCUCUGGUGUCUCAGGAACUUGGGAGGAGCAGAUCAGUCACAGAUAACUGGGAUCUCCAGCACAUUUGUGCCAGAAAUCUGCCAGCUUAUAAUUAGCCUCUAUGAAUAAUUCAUGGAAGACACUGCGUCCAUCAGACCUGACAGUCGUAAUCGUUUUGCCAGCAAAAUAUGGGGUUUGUCUUAUUUGUGAAAAUGAUUCAAGCAGCAGGGCUUUUUUGUUUUUUUUUUUAAUAGAAAAGGGAAGGGUAUGUGUGUCCAUGCCUGUAUAUAAAUAUAUGCAUAUAUUAUGAACAAAUACAUAAAAACAGAUACAUCCCCCAGGCAUGAACAUAUGUAUAUGCUCUGCAUGCUCACUCUGUAAUAGAAUCUCUGUUUGGAUGUCAUGGAUCGAACCUAUCAGUGAUGUAGUUGAUUAAGCCAUUGGGAUUGCAGCAGGAAUGAAGACAUAUUUAUAUCUGCUCUCUUUUACAGUCUAAAAAUACACUGUAAUUCUGAAUGGAUGCAUUUUUAGGCAGAGGGAUGAGGUUUUAGGGAGCUGCAUUUAGGAAGUCCCUUAUUUUGUUGUUGUUUUUGGAAAGCAGGGAAGGAGAUCAGAACCUUGGGGUCCUGUCAGGAGCCUUCAGA